UACGAAGGGGGCUAGCGUUGUUCGGAAUCACUGGGCGUAAAGGGCGCGUAGGCGGCUUUGUAAGUCGGGGGUGAAAGCCUGUGGCUCAACCACAGAAUUGCCUUCGAUACUGCAUGGCUUGAGACCGGAAGAGGUAAGUGGAACUGCGUAGAUAUCAAGAGGAAUACCUGAGGUGAAGACGGGUUGCUAGGCUGACACUGACGCUGAGGCGCGAAAGCCAGGGGAGCGAACGGG
rnacentral:rRNA from 1 species